GGCGACGAUCCGUAACUGGUCUGAGAGGAUGAUCAGUCACACUGGAACUGAGACACGGUCCAGACUCCUACGGGAGGCAGCAGUGGGGAAUAUUGGACAAUGGGCGAAAGCCUGAUCCAGCCAUGCCGCGUGUGUGAAGAAGGUCUUCGGAUUGUAAAGCACUUUAAGUUGGGAGGAAGGGCAGUAAAUUAAUACUUUGCUGUUUUGACGUUACCGACAGAAUAAGCACCGGCUAACUCUGUGCCAGCAGCCGCGGUAAUACAGAGGGUGCAAGCGUUAAUCGGAAUUACUGGGCGUAAAGCGCGCGUAGGUGGUUCGUUAAGUUGGAUGUGAAAUCCCCGGGCUCAACCUGGGAACUGCAUUCAAAACUGACGAGCUAGAGUAUGGUAGAGGGUGGUGGAAUUUCCUGUGUAGCGGUGAAAUGCGUAGAUAUAGGAAAGGAACACCCAGUGGCGAAGG
rnacentral:rRNA from 1 species